UACCACGGGCUAUGCCCGUGGUUCUGAAAAGCUUAUAGCUAUGAGUAGAAAAAAUUUUCCUCCUUUGAUAGAAUAAAUGAUAACGGUCUGCCAACCGAGAUCAAAUCAAAGGAGGAA
rnacentral:sRNA from 1 species